AAGUCGUAACAAGGUUUCCGUAGGUGAACCUGCGGAAGGAUCAUUAUUGAAGUUGCUGAGGGGUUGCUGCUGGCUCUCCGGAGUAUUGUGCACGCCCUUCUCACUUUACCCUCAUCCACCUGUGCACACACUGUAGAUCUCGGAUACCUUUCGGCUGGAUUUAUCUGGCCGGCUAGGAUUGCUGCUCCUUUACAGGGGCUUCAGUCCGAUUUCCGGGUUCUAUGUCCUUCUCACAUACUCUAAGUAAUGUCAUAGAAUGUAUCAUGGGUCGUAUGACCUUUACAAUUAUAAUACAACUUUCAACAACGGAUCUCUUGGCUCUC
rnacentral:misc_RNA from 1 species